rnacentral:rRNA from 1 species
AUGCUUGUCGAGACAAACAAGAAUGAACAAUACUAUAUUGUUUACAAGCUUCUUAAGUUGGUAUUAAUUCUGCCAGUAGCUACUGCUAGUGUUGAAAGGGUGUUCUCUUCAAUGAACUAUGUGAAGAAUAAGCUAAGGAGCAAAAUGGGUGAUGAUUACUUGAACCAUUGUUUGGUUAUAUUUGUUGAGAGAGAAUUCUUCAAUCAAGUAAAGAAUGAGGAUGUCAUCAAUCUAUUCCAAAAAGGCGAUCGCAAAGUUAUAUUGUAA